rnacentral:rRNA from 1 species
AUUGAACGCUGGCGGCAUGCUUUACACAUGCAAGUCGAACGGUAACAGGCCGCAAGGUGCUGACGAGUGGCGCACGGGUGAGUAAUGCAUCGGAACGUGCCCAGUCGUGGGGGAUAACUACUCGAAAGAGUAGCUAAUACCGCAUACGAUCUACGGAUGAAAGCGGGGGACCGUAAGGCCUCGCGCGAUUGGAGCGGCCGAUGUCAGAUUAGGUAGUUGGUGGGGUAAAGGCUCACCAAGCCAACGAUCUGUAGCUGGUCUGAGAGGACGACCAGCCACACUGGGACUGAGACACGGCCCAGACUCCUACGGGAGGCAGCAGUGGGGAAUUUUGGACAAAGGGCGCAAGCCUGAUCCAGCAAUGCCGCGUGCAGGAAGAAGGCCUUCGGGUUGUAAACUGCUUUUGUACGGAACGAAACGGCUCUGGUUAAUACCCGGGGCUAAUGACGGUACCGUAAGAAUAAGCACCGGCUAACUACGUG